rnacentral:rRNA from 1 species
GACGAAGGUGGCAAGCGUUGUUCGGAAUCACUGGGCAUAAAGCGCGCGUAGGCGGUCCGCUAAGUUGGAUGUGAAAGCCCCCGGCCCAACCGGGGAAUUGCGUUCAAUACUGGUGGACUUGAGAGUCGGAGAGGUAUGUGGAAUUCCUGGUGGAGCGGUGAAAUGCGUUGAUAUCAGGAGGAACACCGGAGGCGAAGGCGACAUACUGGCCGACUUCUGACGCUGAGGUGCGAAAGCAUGGGGAGCAAACGGG